AGCUGGGGAAGUAGCGGAACCCUGUACCGGAAAUCCGCUUAGCCGGAGUGAUGCGUUUUAGAGGGUUUGAUUUUUGUAUAUGCCUCAAGGGUGCGGUGUUGAGAUUUGGGUCUUGCGCAAUAGGAACCUGUGAACCGUGUCAGGUCAGGAAUGAAGCAGCACUAAACAGGAGAUUCUAUGUGCCGCAAGGUUGCCUGGAUUGAGCUUGCUCUUUGAGAAACAGUCCAGGAUGAUGAUUCG
rnacentral:SRP_RNA from 1 species